rnacentral:rRNA from 1 species
GAUGAACGCUGGCGGCGUGCCUAACACAUGCAAGUCGAACGAAGCACUCUUGUUGAUCCUUCGGGUGAUACUUAGUGACUGAGUGGCGGACGGGUGAGUAACGCGUGGGUAACCUGCCCUGUACAGGGGGAUAACAGUCGGAAAUGACUGCUAAUACCGCAUAAGCGCACGAGAGGACAUCCUCUUGUGUGAAAAACUCCGGUGGUACAGGAUGGGCCCGCGUCUGAUUAGCUUGUUGGCGGGGUAAAGGCCCACCAAGGCGACGAUCAGUAGCCGGUCUGAGAGGAUGAACGGCCACAUUGGAACUGAGACACGGUCCAA